UGGCUGAAAUAUUCCAGAUCAAUGACGCUUGUAUGACGCUACCUGCCGCUUGCCGCGGAAGCGCUUCGUUCCUUGUGCUGGACGCGGAGGCGAUCAACCCCGACAGCAUGGAAUGUCCAGAAAAAAAGGCCGGCAUGAUCCUGAUUUGGUGCAGUAUAUGCUUGUACAGCAAACUACGAUUUUUGUUAACUGAAAAGCAAUUUAAUUAGAAGAGCACAUGAAACAUAAGCAAUUGAAACCUUGCUGGAAUGGAACAACAUGAGGAACAGAACCACUUCACCCAAUCAAUGGAUUUUCAGUCUUAAGCAAAGUUUUUAUUAUUGCAAAAAGGGUCACUUAAAAAGAAUUCUGUACAAACAUGCUAAGCAUGUACCAAGACACAAAAUGUUUGUCUGUAUAAAAAGAAUUUCAUGCUGAAAGAUUUCAAACUUUCUACUUCAAACGCAGAUUCCCUUAAGGCAAAUGUAGGCUGACAUCUCGUCCUUUCAGCUUACACUGGUACUUGAUGUCCCUGAGGAAACUCUAAGAAACAAGACUGCAUGAGGUCAUGGAGCUACUUCUCUAAGGUUUUUCACUAAAGAUGUUAAAAUCCCCUAAUUAUCCUAACUAAACACAGUGUGCACAUCAACAGUGUAAGGACCUGCCACAGACGUCAAGAGUUUGAUUAAAAAAAAAACUUUAAUAAUAUUGCCAA